UACAGCCAGCAGAUCUCCUAACACUGGAGAAAUCCUUUCUGUAAGAAGGUCGCUUGGUGGUUUCUGUGUCACAAGAUGAAUGCCAUUGUUUGGAUUAAUAAAAAGACCAUUACAUGACAGAGCUCUGCAAGCUUCAUGAAGGUUUGAAGUCUCAAAAUGAGGAAGUCUCCCUAAGCCUUUUCAUCUCUAUAAUAGAAAAAGAAAAUGGUAAUGGGUUCUUGGCUUGAGAUCCUUCACUGCUGUCUGGGUGGCAGUGCUGCACCAUAUUUAGCAGUUCCAUAAAGUCUGCAGAUUUACAAACUUCAAGGAAAUGUCAGAAUGCCAUAUCAUCAAUGCACAACAUUUGAAGUGGAGGUGGCCAAAAUUCCAGUUUUCUUCACUAGGUUCACCAAAGGAUCAGAGGGAAUUUUCACCUCCUAGAUUGGAUUAUGUGCUCUGGACAUGACAUACAAUACAUGCUAAAAAUGAAACCUGGGAACACAGCAUCCUUUCUAGUGCCUUCUUUUCUGCUGGAAGAUAAUCUCAUCUGCAGAGUGGUGAUGUGCAACAGUACAGUCACCUUGUCACAAGAAGCAGCUGUCAGGACUGAACCUGCAUAGCCAAGUCCACCUAGUUGACAGAUUGUUAGCAAGCAACAAGUCUGAGAAAGCCCUGCCUAAAAGAGGUGAAACUAAAUCUCCCUACCAUUUUUCAGUUAACUGAAGAGAAGAAAAUGUAAUGCGUGAAACUAGGUAGAAAGAGCUAUGAAAAGAAAUGUCUUCAUAUGCAAUACUCACACAUCCUCUUAUGGAAUUGUUUUUGUGGAAGAGCAUGUGGGUUGAAGUGAAAAGGAAGUGUGUUCAGCAGAAUUAGUGUCUCAUACAAAACCGAGCGUAGUUGUUGUAUAAUCAUAGAAUGGUUUGGGUUGGAAAGGAAUCUAAAGAUCA